CGAAUCAAGACUCGAUAACCCUUUGUUUUGGGUCUCUUCUGCACUGGGGGAGCUUGCCGCAGUCGAGCGAAUGGAUCGCAAGGUGGUGGACAUGUACAUGUGAUCUCAAGGUGAAGUCCCAAGAAGUCCUCGUCCCGUUUAAGAGGGCUCUACGGCACAAGAAAUGCUGAGACGUCGGUGUUGGAUGGAAUCCUGCGGCCGCUCCAGUGAGAUAUUUGGUGUUGGGAUCUGUUGCGGCCAAUCCCCUGGAGUGUCGGCGAAGAGCAUUUGCAAAAAAAGUUCACACUAACCGAAGCUGUGUCUGGGAUCUUCUGAUGCUUAAAUCAGAGAGAAGUGGCCGAGCAGGUAGAGAGAGAGAGAGAGGAAAUGUUAAAGCAGAUUGCAGCAGAAGAAAAGGCCAACUGGCCAAGCAUUUGGAGGUCAUCAAAGAAGUUCAUGGAACAAGAAGCUUGCGAAAGAGGCCUUGGAUAGACAUAGCAGAAAUUGUUGCCAGCAAGGUGUUGUCAGAGUAAUCAAGUGUGGUAGAUGCCCUUAUCUCAAAUGACAAAAGAUGCUGAAGUUGCUCAAGGAAUGAAAUAGAGGUCAGGAGUGAUGACUUCUCUGAUACCAAGGAGAUUACCGAAGGAAAUUAUGGUGAUAUAUGCAAAUGCAACCUUGGCCACACCCCAGUAGCUGUCAUGGUUCUUCGGUAGCAUAAAGAGGAGUUCUAAGAGGGGUACGCUACAAGGCUAUAAUUCUUGAGGUCUG